GUUUCUGUAGUGUAGUGGUUAUCAUGUUUGCCUAACAUGCAAAAGGUCCCCAGUUCGAAACUGGGCGGAAACA
rnacentral:tRNA from 1 species